CUACCAAUAAGAAUGAUAAAGAUGUCAUGUGUCCUGCCUAAACAGGUGCAACAGAGCUAACUGGAGGCUCAGGAAGAUGUCAAUCACUCCGUUCAUACACACCCACAGAUGACACUUUUUAUCAUU